GAAGAAGAAGCCCAAGAAUUGAGGGGGGCCCUGUGCUACAACACGAGGAGGCUAUAUGUGUAUGAUCCAUCUUAUCAUGCACCAAUAGCAGUUGAAGCUGCCAGCAUGAUCUAAGCUUUUCUGUUGCCCACCCUUUCUCCAGGAAAGACUAGAUCAUGUGGCAGUUUCACCUGUUGAUGGAAGCAUGAGAAACCC
rnacentral:precursor_RNA from 1 species